ensembl:rRNA 5S_rRNA 5S ribosomal RNA
GUCUAUGGCCACACACCCUGAGCGCGCCCGAUCUCGUCUGGUUUCGGAAGCUAAGCAGGGUCGGGCCUGGCUCGUACUUGGAUGGGAGGCCGCCUGGGAAUACCGGGGGCUGGAGGCU